UACGUAGGGUGCAAGCGUUAAUCGGAAUUACUGGGCGUAAAGCGUGCGCAGGCGGUGAUGUAAGACAGGUGUGAAAUCCCCGGGCUUAACCUGGGAACUGCAUUUGUGACUGCAUCGCUGGAGUGCGGGCAGAGGGGGAUGGAAUUCCGCGUGUAGCAGUGAAAUGCGUAGAUAUGCGGAGGAACACCGAUGGCGAAGGCAAUCCCCUGGGCCUGCACUGACGCUCAUGCACGAAAGCGUGGGGAGCAAACAGG
rnacentral:rRNA from 1 species